rnacentral:rRNA from 1 species
CCUACGGGUGGCAGCAGUGGGGAAUAUUGCACAAUGGGGGAAACCCUGAUGCAGCGACGCCGCGUGAGUGAAGAAGUAAUUCGUUAUGUAAAGCUCUAUCAGCAGGGAAGAAAAUGACGGUACCUGAGUAAGAAGCCCCGGCUAACUACGUGCCAGCAGCCGCGGUAAUACGUAGGGGGCAAGCGUUAUCCGGAUUUACUGGGUGUAAAGGGAGCGUAGACGGCAGUGCAAGUCUGGAGUGAAAGGUGGGGGCUCAACCCCCGGACUGCUCUGGAAACUGUACGGCUGGAGUGCAGGAGAGGUAAGUGGAAGUCCUAGUGUAGCGGUGAAAGGCGUAGAUAUUAGGAGGAACACCAGUGGCGAAGGCGGCUUACUGGACUGUAACUGACGUUGAGGCUCGAAAGCGUGGGGAGCAAACAGGAUUAGAUACCCGGGUAGUC